CAGAACUAUAACAAACUUAUUGCUUUACCUGGCACCAGUGCAAACUUAAUUACUUCAUGUUACUAUUAUCUAUAGUCUACACAAUUACUGGAGAAGAGUUAACAGGAAUUUCAGAUAUUCACAAAGGAUUUAUGGAUUAUAAAAGGAUUACGAAGGGACAGUUAUUCUAUGUUCGUUUCUAUUAAGCACCAGCAGAAAUAUUAUUUGAUGAAAUAAAAUAGACAAUUAUUAUUGUUAAGAUAGGAAUGACACAAGAUUAUAUUAUCCCUGAAGAAAUGUGUGAACAAGAAGAGAUAACCAAAAAUCAGAUACCGAACUUCUACUGAAACAAGAGAGUUAUUGGACUUAGCAGUAUACUGGCUGAGUUAGCAAAUAAUUAUAUAAAUCAAAAACCAGUUUGAAUAUACUAUAAUAGAAAUCAAUUAUUGGUUUACUCUACCUGUAAAAAUAUUAAAGAAAAUGACAGAGAAGAGAUAAGAAAAUGAGUCAUAACGAUCCUAAAACCAGAAGAGUUACUAGUCGCAAGAUCUAUUACGAAAGGAGUUAUUUCAGAAGAAGCUAUGGAUCAAUUCUGUAAACAGGUUGGCCAAAGAUACAACGACCACGUAUGCAGCAGAUGUAGUGGCAUAACUUUAUUCCAGAUGUGAUGCUACAAUAGCAAGAAGAUAAAAAAACCAACAAAUACGACAAGAUGAAGAUAAAAAGAAGACAGCAACGGAGCAAUAAUAGAAGAAGACAAGUAACAAGGCAAUAAUAGAAGAAGACAAAAUAAUAAAUGCUAGAAAGCGACAUAUUGUAUAGCUUUUAACUCUUAUAUGUAAAUUAUUAGUUUUGUAAGACUUUUGUAUAGAUAAGUCUUGUUUUCUUUUUGGGGUAGCUAACUUUAUAUCAUAGCCUUUUUGACUUUUUGUAACAUAUGAAUUAUUAGGAAGAUACGUGUAAAAAAUUAUGAAUAGUACAGAGUUUACAUCUUUCAUUUUUUAGGAUAUAAAUAGACGAGCAUCCGUUCAGAUAGAGGGCAAGUCUUCAUGAGUUGAAGCAAAACCCUCUUGUACACAAAAAACUUUUAAAUUAUUUAAUAAAAACAUGUAUAUUUUCAAGGAAAAGCUGAAUCAUCAGACAACAAUGGAAAAUCUAGAAUUAUCAGAUUUACCAGAACAGGUACGAGUGCACCACAUGGCAGCUGAGUUUGGGUGAUGAUUUGAUACAUUUGAGGUAGUGGCCGCUCUAUUCUAUCAAAGUUGACUUCAGACCUCAUUCUAUCUAGUUAUGUCUUCUUUGUGUUCAGAGACACUUGUGGCUUCUUUUGUUUGGAUUCACAAUUGUAUUUUCAGACUUUGAGUUGUACAUAGGUUGUUCUUAAACUAUGACGCUGGGAUUUGGGAUGGUUUAUGGUAUUAUUGUGAUUUAGACUUCUACUAUUUUUAUGCGUGUGCAAUUUAAUUUCAUUCUAGAAUUAUUGCCUUGGGAUUUGUGUUGUGAAUUUCACCUAUAUAUCAAUUUAGGUGACUGGCUCACUUGUCAAGGAUUAGCCGUGAUAAGUGUCAUCAUAACCUGAGUUUUUAGAUUGUUCCAUUGGAGAUUUUGGAGAGAGAAAUAUAUCCUCCAUAUGUUGAACCAAGAAAAUAGGAAAGAAGGAAAUGAAUAGGAGGUGUGGAGUUGGGAAAUUAUUUCCAACAAGAAAAAAUAAGUGCUCCAUAUUGUAGAUGGUUGGUUAUAAAAGAACUACAUGUCUGGAUCAAAAUGCUCCAUAAUUAUUAUAAUACUAAAA